UUUUGGGCACCACAGGGAUCUUUUAGCUUAGGUACGAGGAGCAUUGCUGCAGAGCAAAUGGGGAAGCCAAAAAACACGAGUGAGGGAGAGAGAAGCAAACAGCUUCACCAUGAAAAUUAUUUGACAGGUAAUAACCAUACAAGGGGAGCUAAACAAAACAGAUUUAAAUAUUAUAACUUAAAUUUGAUUAUAAAAGUCAGGUUUACAAAACUAUAACUGAUCACACAAGUCGGGGUCAGAAGGCUAUACUUAGAGCUCAUUGGGUUCUCACCAGUCUGUGAAACUUGAAUCGAUUGGGGGUCCCAGGUGGUGGUGGUGGUGGUGGUAGCUGAGGGUCUGGAGUGCUGGAGCCAGGCAGAGCCAGCACAAUCAGUCAGAAGAUGAUGAUCCAACAGAACUGAUGCAGAUGUUGGAUCCAGGCAUCAGAACACCUACAUGAGCGUGGGUAGGGGUUUUUGUAGGGAAAGAACAAUGGUUCAAGGGAGAACACUAGAUUUGUUUAUGGGUAAACUGGGGGCUCAAGAGAGUAUACCAAAGUUGUUUUGUUCAGGCUAGACAAUAGGAACUGAUUUUUCCUGACUAUGGGUGGUGGUCCUUCAAGGGAGCUCGCAAUGCAGUUAGGCAGCUUCAGUAUUUUGGAUACCAAUAAAGGAUUUAUUACUAGAAUUGGUCUGAUAACUACUGAGCUGGGUGUGUGUAGGUGUGGGUUCAUUAACAUCAGGAGCAGAGAUUCUCCCAACCCAUCCCCCAUCAUGCAGUGAUUCCCUGCUUUUCAGGUCCUAGGGCUUGGUGUGGUUCUUGCCUUGGAAUCUCUGUUCUCCAUUCUAUAUGCUAAUGGGGAUGCCUCUCUGUCCUAUCUUCAAUGCAAAUGAGGCUAGGGGAGUUCCCUUAAUCCUGUCACCCUUGUCCAGGAGGUUUAGGUGUGUUUUCCACUGCCUUUUCAUUGCUUUUUGUAAGUCUGUCUUCUGAGUGGCUUUGGUUCAAGCAGAGGCCGUGGUGGGGGCUGCUGGGAAGGUCUUUUGUGAGUCAGACAGGCUGGACGCUGUGCCCUGGUUCUCCAAGAACACACAGCUGAAAGGUAACAGUGUAAAGCAAGGGUGCCCAGCCUCUUUCUGGUCCAGCUUUCAGUGUGAGGGAUAGGAGUGCGGUACCCAUCUGCCAAGUCACCUCACACAGCUGCAGUUCUGCUGAGUAACAAUCUUGCAUUUCUGACCACUCCUUUCUGCCAGUUCUCUUCCAUUUGUGUCCUUUCGGUUGCAUUUUUGUGUCUCCUCUAUGAUGCCAUGGUCUGGGGCAUCCAUCGUUGGCUCAUGAGCACAUGCUCCUGUAGCUUAACAGGGCAGAGAUCUUGGAGCUGUUCCUGUGACUGGCUGAACUAAGGAUGGGUGGGGCAGCUAGGAUAGAAGGGUACAUGCCUUUCAAGAAGUCACUUCCUGGUUUUGCCCACAACUGCAAAAGCAUUAUUCCAUUAGCAAGGGCAGGUCCAGCAUCCCUGCAGCUUUCUUCGCCCUUUCCUAUUCAUCUCUUCUCUGUCAUCCCAUGAUGGAAAACAAUACUGCAAAGGCACCUGCCUGCAACUUCGCUGACCUUAAACCUUUAGUUAGUUAGGCUAUGGCCCCCAGUCCUUGCAAUCUUGCUACCUGCUAUUGGCAGGGAGGACAUAUGGCCUCUGUACUGCCCACCCAACUGGGAAGGCAGCCUCAACCCCCCACUUACCACUGAAACUACUCUUCUGUGAAAGUGCAUUUAUAUCUUAUGUAUGGUAUUAAAGCCUAAUGUGGGUACUCACCAUUGCCUAUCUAAACUAGCUCCUGCCCAAGUUGUUAUAUAUUAGUGGGUUUGGAAACUACCAGUUAAUUUCCAUGCUACUGGUGGAGACUAUCUGUUAAGGGUCUAUUUGUUGCUUAGGGAAAACUAAAUUUAAAAUGUAUUCUUCUAGACCUGAUCUAGUAAAGUGAGGCAAGGUGGCUCUAGCAUGUUCACUCCAAUCUCCAAACUUACUUUGUGAAGGGUACUGGAGGGUAAAGAUGUGCCUAUGCUUACACUGCAGUUACAAGUGUAAUUGCAGCUGCUAGCUUUGAUCUAGCUUGCCUGCUAAAAUUGGCUGUGAAAAGGUGGCAGCAUAACGGAAGUUCUGUAUGGUCUGCCUGGGCCCUUUUGAGUAUGUAGUCAUGUUGCUAGUACACACUGAAGCCCACAUCAUUGUGUCUUCACUGUUUGUUUGCCAUGCUAGCUAGAUUAAAGCUAGCGAGGGUAUGUCUACCCAGACUGCAAAUCAUACAAUGUAGAUGUAGCCUAUACAUAAUAAAAUAUUGUAAUCCUCUAAACAAACACAACUGAUUUUGCUUACCUUGUGCUGAAUGCUUCACGUGUUGCACAGAGCAUAAUUCACAUCCAUUAUUCUCCCAUUACCAGCAGUUAGCAAGCACAGGACAUGACAAAGGAGUGAAAGAGAUCAGUGAGGAAAAGUGUGUGUGAAGGGGAGGUAGGGACUACACCAGGGAGACAGGACUGUGAAAAGGAGAGCAAGGGUUCAGUUUGAGCAAGCAGAAAGCCUGCCAUAAUGGAGCUACGGGGCAGAUUGCUCUAGAUUUUGAAGGGAGAAGGCAAUGGAUGGAUACUGUGGUUAUUAGUCAAAGUGAACACAAGAGGGCUCCAAUAACACAUUUUGACUGAGGAAAAUGGAGCUCAGUCUGAAACUUUCCUGAAUGCCCCAUCAAUAUUCUUCUGCUCUUAGCAUUUUAUUCCUUUCUCUAGCUGUAGAGAACUAUUCUACAUACUUGGAAGUACCUAAAAAUAUCAUUAAGCUCAGUAUAGAUUAUAAUUACUGCAAAUUUGAUCACAUUUUUUCUAUGAUGUUAGGGCUACUUCAUGCACAUCCCAUCAGUGGCAGUACUUGUACCAAAACCUACAUCACCGUGGCCAGGGUAUGAUGCUAUAAGUGAUUUAUAGAACACAAUCUUCUUCUAGCUUUGAUCUGUGAAGAAAUCAAACCUUGCCUGCAAAUGAUUUAAAAGUGAGCAAGCAAAAUACAGGGAGAAAUCGGUAUGUAGAAGUAGAGAUACCUGUCUUGUAACUAGGGUACCAAAUAGCAAAUGUGAAAAAUCAGGACAGGGGAUAGGGGGGUGAAUAGGCGCCUAUAAAAGACAAAGCCCCGAAUAUUGGGACUGACCCUAUAAAAUUGGGACAUCUGGUCACCCUUGUAAUCAAGAGGAAAAAGUGAUCAAUAUAGGAACAAAACGUAAUUAGUAAGUAGCUCCUUCUGUUGAAAUUAGAUCGAUUUUUUUUUUUAAAUGAGGUUUAGUAUAAAGUAGACUCUCUCUCUCAUCUUUCCCCUCCUCCCCCCAAAAAACCCUGCACAGGCCUCAUACAAAAGCAUGUGGGGUGUGAUUCAUCAUCCUGAACUCUUUAGUCUACUAUGAGCUAUUUAUCCUAACUAUUCCAUAGUUGUGUACCUUUGAGAGAAUCUGAACCUAGAUGGUUUGAAGUCAGCCUAUAGCUACCAUUGGCUAGAAUUAAUAUAAUAGGCAAAUGUUCCGCCACAUUUGUUGUGGAUGAAGUAGAUUUAUCCAGGGCCUUUGCUCGCCAGGGCUAGGGCUUGCUGCUUCUCAAAAGGGAACAAGAAUGUUCUAUUUUGUCCACUUAUUUCCUGCUAUCUUUUUACAUAACAGCUGCUCUUCAUUUCCUUUCAGCUGUGACCUGGCAUGGAUUCAUCCAUUAUGUUGGAAAUGUACAAAAAUAUAGUUUCCCAGCUAAUUAUCAAAUAUGUAUAUCUUUGCUUACAAUGGCCAUGAUUAUGCCAUGAGCUCUGAAUCCAUGUGAAACCUCCUAAAGUUAAUAGACCCCUGUAUGAAGCUUGUAAGGAAUGGAACCCCCUGUGUCCAGAUCUUCUGACCUUCCACCAUGACAAAAUCAGUGCCUUAUGACAGCACCUAGGCUGUCAGUAAUAAACCAUGCAAUCUGGUAGCAUUAUCAAACUCAUUAGAGUCCCAGCCCUGGACACCAGAGGCCAUCUUAUGCCAUCAAUUGUGUAUGCACAACUCCCCCUGAAAUUGUUGCAGUGCCAAGCAAGACACUGACUUCCAUUGUGAAUGUGACUGUUGACAUGUGCAAAGGUGAAAUUACAGGUUUUUUUCCCCUCUGUGUAAUGGUGAUAACCAUCAGUAGUUUGUUUAGGAAGCUUGUAGGUGACAUUCAGUUAGAUGAUUUAUUGCAAGAUUAUGCACACCCACAAGUAAACAGUUAUCUCCAGCUUCUAGUUGGCUGUUAGCUAGAGGUUAACACUUGUUUGAUUUUUAAUAUCAUUGACUUAAAUGGGUACAUAUCUUGGCAUGAUUACUGUAUCUGCAAAUACCUCUGAACCUCUGUUGCCAAAUUAUUACCUCCAUAAACCUGCUAGAUCAGCCCUCAAGAAUAACUAAUUAGGAAAGCUGGUGCCAGGCACUGAACAUGUGAUACGUACCUGUUGGUUGUGUUUUCCUUUUCUCCCUGCUCCCUUUCUUAUGCAAUAUUUGCAUAAAUUCAGAUACUGUGAACCAAUGUACCUGAGCUCCUAUGCCUAAACUAAUUUAGGUCUUUGUUUAAAAAAAAAAUAAAAUUAUUGAUACAUGAUUGUCACACAAAAAUAGAUACUAUGGUGAUGGACAGCAGACUAAAACACUAGGGUAGAUUGGAUGUGAGUACAUGAAAGAGUAUGUUUUUUGUGACCACAGCUUAGAAUGUUCAGUUUUUAAUACUUAAUCCAUUAAAGAAACAGGAAGACUGA